UAGUAUACAUCACAUCUAAUUGAAAAAUCAUUUCAUCAUCCACCGCCACCGGUGUGCUUCAAUUUCUCUUCUCUUCCCUUCUCCUCGCCGACCACCCCCAUCGGCGCCGCAGCUCCCUUCCACCUUCUCCGAUACCACCUCCAUUUCCCUCUCUCCCCCACGGCGAUCUGACCUCCCGAUGAUUCGACCCACCGGAUAUGGCCGCGAUGAGAUUUACCCCUUUCACUCCGAUGGCACCUCCAUUUGCCUCCUCUCGGCGAUCUGCCCCUUCCACCUUCUCCGACGCUUCCCUCUUCCGCCGGCGACGCCAGUCACCUCCACUCCCUCAACUGACACGCGCAGAAACAACAGUCCACCGCUUUCCUUGGGGUCGGCAAAAUCGUCGGCUCUUCCCUCUCUUUCACGCAAUACAUGUCGUUCAACCUUGCCUCCCCUUCAUGAAGACUCGCCACUGUCCCUGUGCUGUAGUCGGAGACUCCUCUGCCUCGACGAACAAGGCAGUCACCCCGGGCUGUCACAAGUAAAAGGAGAGUCUCACACAAACAGCAGUUGCCAUCGGCUCAGGUCCCGCAAACUGCCGAUGUGCUCCAAAACUCGGCGAGGGCCGUCGUUCAACCUUGCCUCCCCUUCCUGAAGACUCGCCACUGUCCUUAUGCCGUCCUCUGAGACUCCUCUACACAACGAACAAGGCAGCCACCCCGGGUUCUCACAAGUGAAAGGAGGGUCUCACACAAACAGCGUGAUUAAAUACCUCAGGAACUGAGGGGAAUAUUUGUCUCAAUGGACGUGUGCUUAGUGGUCUUGCUUGACAGAGCUCUUCUGUUUGCGAUCGCAUAUUUCAUUAGAGGUAACCCCUCCCAUCUCUUCCUUUUUCUCCGUGUUUCUGCUUUGAUUUUUGAAUUUCGGUUCUUGCUGUUUUUGUUCUUGAUUUCUUUAAUUGUUAUUGUUUCAAUAAAUACACAUUGCAAAGUAUCAUUCCCCUUUUCUAAUCUUAUGGUUACUGUUUUAUUUUCACUAUUCCAGUGACUAUUUUCUAUCAUGUCACUUUUGUUUAUAUUCUUAUUCUAGAUUCUAACUAUGUUUCACAUUCAUAAACAUAGAACAUUAUCGUGUUUUCCGAUGUAUAACUUUGGGUUGCUCAGCCAUCUUGAUAUUUUUGAAUUUCAAUUCUCUAUUUUGAUUUUGAAUUUCUGCUCUUGAUGUUUUUGUUCUUGAUUUCUUUAAUUAGGAAAGAUGAAAAAUUCGAGGAAUAUGUUUUAAAAUUUCCAUCAAUCAUGAUUUCUAAUAUCUACGAAUGUGAUUUUUUUCCUAAUAUAUGUACAUUUUGCAAAUCGUUUGUUUUUAAAUACUACGGAUAUUAGGUUUCCAAUUUUAAUAUAUUUAUUGCUUUUGAUGUUAUUUUAGUUUUAUAAUUUAUAAUAUAAUAAUUGAACUUCUAAUUAGGUUCAUCCUACAGCUCCAUAGUUCAUGAGUUCCUCAACUCUUUAGAUCAUUAUUUCAUCUCUGGAUCCUAGAACUAUAAUUGGCUACUGCUCAAAUUCACUAUUUCAUUAAAAAAAAUUCUUGAACUAUAACUGAUUAGUAUUUUUCCAGGCUUUGAUUAUGUAUGUUUAUGUUAUAGAUGACUUUUUCAUUAUUAAUUUUUUCUCGAACUAUACCUGAUUAAUAUUUUUCCAGAGAUCGAUUAGUCUUCUAUAUUAGUGCUGGUGAAUAUUUAUAGUUUAGAUUCAGUUCAAGUAGCGAAAAUCAAACUUCUACAUAAUGCCUUUUAUGUAAGAAAGUUGGUAGAGUAAUAGGCUUUUCUUCUUUUCAGGCUGAUGCAGCGAGCACGACUGGGUAUAAAUUCCAACCUCUCCUUUUCAUUUUAUGUAAAAGUUGAGAGGAAUCGAAUAAACAAGUUUAGUUUUGACAUGUGCAUAAUUAACAGCGUGUUGGUGAGGGUUCUCACCGAAGGGGCUCUGGCGCUGACGUUGGACCAUAAGUCCCAUGAAAAGAUAGUACAAUGUGUUAUAACAGGAGUUGCUUUAUCCACUACUUCAAAUAUUCUUGCUGGGGUUUUAUAGAUUGCUCCCACCAUUACUUCUGAAUUAUUCUAAUACCAUUUUCUACUUUCUCACAUUUAGGAUAACAAAUUUCUCUUUAUGUACUUCGAAUUUACCUCUACACUUUUUACCAUAAUUUGAACAACCAAAUAAUGCAAUUUUGAACAAUUUUAUUCUAAGGCAAGUGUUUUUUUUUUCU